rnacentral:rRNA from 1 species
CCAUUAAUCAAGAACGAAAGUUAAGGGAGUGAAGACGAUCAGAUACCGUCGUAAUCUUAACCAUAAACUAUGCCGACUAGGCUUUGGAUGAAAGAUUUUAAAAUAAGAGUUUUUCUUUUCUCUCCGGAGAUUAGAACUCUUAGAUUGCUUCCUUCAGUGCCUUAUGAGAAAUCAAAGUCUUUGGGUUCUGGGGCGAGUAUUCGCGCAAGCGAGAAAGUUAAAAGAAUUGACGGAAGGGCACCACCAGGCGUGGAGCUUGCGGCUUAAUUUGACUCAACACGGGAAAACUCACUAGUUUAAGACAAGAGUAGGAUUGACAGAUUAAUAGCUCUUUCUUGAUUUCUUGGAUGGUGAUGCAUGGCCGUUUUUAGUUCGUGAAUAUGAUUUGUCUGGUUAAUUCCGAUAACGAACGAGAUCUUAACCUGCUAAUUAGCGGCAAAUACGAUAUAUUCUUAUGUAGAAUUGAAUAUAGUGGAUUUGUUAGAUUUUGAAGAAAAUAUUGGAAUUACGUUAAAUGUGAUUCCUUUCCC